ACAAACUUCCUUUUCGAAUCUGAGGAUUUAUCAUUCUCGUUUUCUCUCUAUGGUUAUAGUGUGAUUUCCAUAAGUCAUAUAUGUUGUCAUGAAUACCUCUGAAUCAGACAACCAACAUGUUCUUCCCAAUCCAGAAUCACAUUCACACACAUCAAAAUGCAGAAAAUUUACAUUUCACUCACUCUCUCUGUUGGUUCUCCUUACGUCAAUCUAUUGGGGAUUCACAAGAACAAACUAUUACACAGUUCACCACUUGAAAUACUCCCUCACAUCACCAUCAAUUAUACAUGCAAUUGAGUCUUUCUUUUUACCCUCAAAACCAGUUUCUGUGCCCUCCAAUCAUUGUGUUCUAUGGAUGGCCCCCUUUCUUUCAGGUGGUGGGUAUAGCUCGGAAGGUUGGUCCUAUAUUUUGGCCCUUCAUGGGCACAGAAAAAUGCAAUCUUUAAGGUUGGCGAUUGACCACCAUGGUGAUCUAGAAUCUCUGGCGUUUUGGGAGGGUUUGCCAGUUCAUAUGAAGAACUUGGCUCGUGAGUUGUACCAAGCUCGGUGUAGAAUGAACGAGACAGUUGUUAUUUGCCAUAGUGAACCUGGUGCCUGGUUCCCUCCACUGUUUGAAACCACCCCAUGCCCACCAUCUUUUUACCAUAAUUUCAAGUCUGUCGUUGGCAGGACCAUGUUUGAGACUGAUAGAGUGAAUGAUCAACAUGUGCAGCGCUGUAAUACAAUGAACUAUGUCUGGGUUCCUACAGAGUUCCAUAUGUCUACAUUUGUGCAAAGUGGGGUUGAUCCUUCCAAGGUGGUGAAGAUUGUUCAACCUGUUGAUGUGAAGUUCUUUGAUCCGGUAAGGUACAAGCCAUUUCGUCUUGCUUCUAGUUCUAGAGCAAAACUUGUCUUAGGUUCCCGUGUGAAGAAGAGCUUUGUGUUUUUAAGUAUCUUCAAAUGGGAGUAUAGGAAAGGGUGGGAUGUGUUGUUAAAAUCAUACUUGAAGGAAUUCUCAAAGGAUGAUGGGGUUGCUUUGUACUUGUUAACAAAUCCUUAUCAUACUGACCAGAAUUUUGGUAACAAGAUAUUGGAUUUUGUGGACAGUUCGGGUAUGGUAAAACCAGUAAGUGGUUGGGCUCCAGUCUAUGUUAUUGAUUCUCACAUACCAUUGAGUGAUUUGCCUAGAGUUUACAAGGCAGCUGAUGCUUUUGUUCUUCCUUCCCGAGGGGAAGGAUGGGGAAGACCAAUGGUGGAAGCCAUGUCAAUGGCAUUGCCUGUGAUUGCGACAAAUUGGUCUGGACCAACUGAGUAUUUAACAGACGAUAAUAGCUAUCCACUGCCUGUGGAUAGAUUGAGUGAAGUAACAGAAGGUCCAUUCAAGGGACACCUUUGGGCUGAACCUUCUGAGAAUAAACUUCAGGUUCUUAUGAGGCAGGUGAUGAAUAAUCUCACUGAGGCUACAGCCAUAGGCAGGAAGGCCAGGGAGGACAUGAUAGCACGGUUCUCGCCUGAGAUUGUGGCCGACAUCGUUGCAGAUAACAUACUAAACAUUCUACGGCAAUAAGGACUAUGAAGCUUCUGGUUCUGUUUCUCCACAGCUGCUAUGCUUCAAAUCUGUCUUGUAUUAUGAUUCAUUCUAAAGGAGACUGAGAUUGUUAGCGCACAUAAUGUUGACUUGUAGGGAAUUGAUUAAGGCUCAGCAAACUAAGCAGUGUAAGUGACUAAGAUUAUUGUAUCCAACCGGCUGAUUGUCUGGUACAGGAGGACAUUAAGGAGCAUUAUUGAGCUGUGGUUUCUAGUUAAGAUUGAAGCUCUGAAUAUCUUGUAUGCUCUUAUUGUGCUUGUUUUAAACUUCCAAAAUUUUGAUUGAACCAUUAUGUCUGGUGCCAGUAUAUAUGGAAAGGUGUACGAAAACACCUAGAAUUCUCACUUCUCCCAAACAAUUGUGUUCUAGUACUUUUUUAUUCUGUCAGCUGAUUUCCUUGUAAUUCACUCUCAAAGAACGCCUGCGACAUCAUAAGUCAAAAUAUGUGCCUGUAAAGUUUGAA